ensembl:rRNA 5S_rRNA 5S ribosomal RNA
UCUGGCAGCCAUACCGCUCUGUGCUGUGCGCCUGUCAGUUCUUACCAGCUAAGUAAGGACUGGCCUGCUUUGGUGUGAGGAUGAGAGACCUCCCAGGAACAAGUAGGUACUUCAGGAA